CCAACUUUGUCCUCUUAAAGGAACUACUUAGAGGCAUCCCUUGGGUUCAAGCGUAGGAAGGGGUCCUGUGAGCAAUUGUUGAUGCUGGAGGGUUACUUCCUCCAUGCUGAGGUGCGGUGCAUCCCAAGGAGCAAGGAACUGCACAGGAAUGGUGGGAGACCUGCAGGGGUGAAUGAGAAACUCAUGGAUGAGUUUCAAGGGGAGAAGGAAGAGAUGGGCUGAGGAAGGCUAAGGCCCUCUCAGUAUCAGCUUUGGGAAGGGAGGUCAAGGCUAACAGAAGCUUGUCAACAGAAGAAAGGAGAACAGAGAAGGUGUGGGCCUGCACUUUACAGGGUGGAGGCCCUGGUAGUGGGGAUGUGCUGGAUGUCUCUGGAGCUUCAGUGGUUGCUGCUUAGAUGGCUUCUGGGGAACCUUGGAUCCUCCUGGAGGGAAGACGCUCUGAGGAAGGAUGACUUCUCCUCUAUUGUGGAGGAGCUGGUCGAAGGUAGUUCAGGCAGAAAGGAUGCCAGCAAGUGCCUGAGCUGUAAAGGGAUAUGUGUGUGCAUGCUGAGGGAGCUGGCAGAGAGAGAGCUCUCUGACAUUUUUCCUGCUCUUUUCUACAGGAGAGGUGUGUGAAGACUGGAGGAUAGCUGAUGUCACCACAGCCUUCAGAAAAGGUGAGAAGGAUGGUGUGUGCAACUGUAGGUAGGUUGGCCUCACCUCCAUUCCUGGGAAGGUGAUGUAACAGCUUGUUCCAGGUGUCAUCUGCAAGUGGCUGGAAGAGAAGGAAUUUCUAAGGAGCAGUCAAGGCAAUUUCUAUGGAGGGGAAUUCAUGCUGGACCAAAAGGUAGUGUUGUGUGUUGUCUUGAUUGUGCAGUUAGAUGAGAGGAGGGCAGCAGACUGGCGCAACUGAUGUGCGAGAGCCCAAUUGAUGGGGAUGGGUGGCAUGUGGUAGUAUGGAGGCAGUGUUCAUGUUCUGUAACACCAGAGUUUCUGUGCAAACAGGAAGAAGAAAGAUUUCUGUGUGAGAGGGAUGGGAGAGGGUGUUCGGGGAGGUUGUGGAGUCCAGUUCCCUGGGCCCCAUUCCAGUUGCGUGUGGGCGCUUUGCAGUGGGGCCUUGGUAUUCUGUCUGGCUGUGUGAUUUGUGCUCUUGUUGCAGGGUGAAGGCUGCAGAGGAGAGCUUUGCAGAGAGGAUUGGCUGGAACAGGUGUGCGCUUUUCCCAGUGGUGGGAAUGAAGGAGGGUGGAAGGUCAUGCCCUGAAGGAGGGGAGUUAAGGGAGAGUGGCCCUUUCCAGCUGGAGCUGGGGGUCCCGGUGCGGCUGAUGUCCCGUGGGGAAGAUGCAGAUCCCGGGAGCUGCGACCAGGAGGAGGAGCGGAGCCAGCAGGUAGGCGUGGGGUGUUGUGGAGUGCUGUCUUGGGGCUCUGUUUCAGUUCCCUUGUAGGUGGUUGGUUUUGAUGUGCGUCUGAGGUUUCUGUUGGUUACUGGCAGUAGCGUGUAGCGGAGGUGAGGGGCCAGUGUGGCGGGCUUGUGUGCUGGUUUUUGCCUUGGAGCUGUCUUUGUGGUUGAGUUUGUAGUGUUGGUUAGGGGGUUGGUAGAAGGAGCGGCUUGGGGCUGGUUGGUUUUGCUGGGUCUGAGGCUUGUGUGUGGCUUGGUGGUCUUGUUUUGGAGCCCGUUGGGCUUGGUGUUGUUUGGCCAGGUUGGUGGACUUGGUUUUGGGUUAGGGACUUGGAGCUGGCUGGUUAGUGGUGGUGUGGUAUGUUGUUUGUGUUUUUUUUUUGAUCUCUAUGGUGGAGCAGUGUGGCUUUGUUUGUUGAGGUGUGGGGGCCGGUGGUGGUCAGCCAAAAGCAGAGCCUGCACUUGGGCUGUGCUUUUGGCUGGCGGUGGGGGGCUGUGGAGUGGGGAUUGCACUAUCUCAAAGAGAUUAUUUUUUUUUUUUGGGUGGGAGGUGGGGAUGGUCAGUCUCGGAAGUGGGAGGAGAGAGCUCCCCCUGGGUGGGGGGGAGGAGGGUGAGCUCCCAGAGUGGGGAGCCCCCCUCCUGGGGGGGGAGAGCUCCCCCCCUGGGUGGGAGGGGGCUCUCCUUCCUCCCCGCUCUGGGGAGCCCCCCCAGGUGGGGAGGGUGAGCUCCCCAGAGUGGGGAGCCCCCCUCCUUGGUGGGGGAGAGCUCCCCUCCUGAGUGGGGGGGAGGCUCUCCCUCUUCUCCACCCCCCACUUAGGGAGGCCCCUCCUGGGUGGAGGGCCCCCCUGCAUUGGGUGUGAGGGAGGAGUUUCCCCUCUUGGCUGGGGGACUCCCUCUGUGGGGUGGGGAGGGGGAGCUCCCCUCCUGACAAAGCUGACAAAGAUGACAAAGAUGUCUCUUCCCGGGGUGCUCUAGUGCCUCCUGUGUGGUGAUGGCUGCUUAGUGGUGGUGGUCCUGGUCCUGGGCUGAAAGGAGGAGGAGGAGAAAGCUUUUAGUGUGUUACUUCAAAGCUCAGGUAAGGCCCCUUGGAACCAACUUCUUGUUGUGACUGAAGAGGUUGCUUAGAGGUUGCUGUAGUCACUGCACCCUGGGGGUUGGAGGAAGUGGCUGGAGGGUGGUGUUUGCCUGCGGUGUGGGGGAGUAAACCAUCUCUAGUGUAUGCAGGAUGGAUACUGCAGCAGCAGCCUAAGUAGACUGAGACCCUCAUGAAGGAGGGAAGCUGCUGCUGUGCUCUCAGACUUCGGCAUGCUGCUCUUGGAGGGGGGAAAAAGAAUCAGACAAAUGGGAAAACUAAAGGAGGGAAAUGCUGAUGACCUCUCCCUCUUGUGAGAGGUCUCUAACAAGGCCAACUUCAUUUUGUGUCUAUUGAUAAAAAUGAAGAGGAUAAGGCAUAAUACUAAAGAGCAUGCCUCUCAAAGUGCACUGGGUUGAAUUAGUGCAUGGGAGACUUGAAACUUAAAUGGGGUGACUUUGUAAUAGUGGGAAAACCAGGUCUCCUGUUUGAGAGAGGUCUUCCUCUUGCUUUACAGUUUCCCUUCAGCAAGAAGCUAUGGGGAGCUUCUAGGUCUAAUGCUGUUCCUCUGCUUUUGAGCUGAAUUUCUGCAUGGCAGCCUUUCUCGAAUGCGGUACGGCUUCCCUGGCUUGAAGAUGGGUGUGCUGUCCUGAGGGAGGAGCAGUGUUGACUGUCUUACAGUGACCUUCUGCUUUCCUUUAAGAAGAAUCCACUGAGAACUGUAUCUGGUUUCUCAGUAGGUAACUCAGGAGAGGGCUUCUCGGUGAAAUCCUUUGUGUUGAAUUGCAGUAAGUUGAGUAUGUGAACCUUCCUCCCAAACUGAGACCGAACGCCAGCAAAAAUGACAAAUAUGUUGUACUCUUUCCCUUUAUAACAAAAGAUGUGGUACUUCACUGGGGUUGCGCCUUUGUGUUCAAUGUUUGUAUGCAGUAUAUUG
ensembl:lncRNA